GACGUAGGGCGCGAGCGUUGUCCGGAUUUAUUGGGCGUAAAGAGCUCGUAGGCGGCUUGUCGCGUCGUCCGUGAAAACUUGGGGCUCAACCCCAAGCUUGCGGUCGAUACGGGCAGGCUAGAGUUCGGUAGGGGAGACUGGAAUUCCUGGUGUAGCGGUGAAAUGCGCAGAUAUCAGGAGGAACACCUGCGGCGAAGGCGGGUUGCUGGGCCGACACUGACGCUGAGGCGCGAAAGCCAGGGGAGCGAACGGGG
rnacentral:rRNA from 1 species